AGAGUUUGAUCAUGGCUCAGGACGAACGCUGGCGGCGUGCUUAACACAUGCAAGUCGAGCGGAAAGGCCCUUCGGGGUACUCGAGCGGCGAACGGGUGAGUAACACGUGAGUAACCUGCCCUUGGCUUUGGGAUAACCCUCGGAAACGGGGGCUAAUACCGGAUAUUCCCGCGGGAUCGCAUGGUUUUGUGGGGAAAGUUUUUCGGCUAGGGAUGGGCUCGCGGCCUAUCAGCUUGUUGGUGGGGUGAUGGCCUACCAAGGCGACGACGGGUAGCCGGCCUGAGAGGGCGACCGGCCACACUGGGACUGAGACACGGCCCAGACUCCUACGGGAGGCAGCAGUGGGAAUAUUGCACAAUGGGCGGAAGCCUGAUGCAGCGACGCCGCGUGAGGGAUGACGGCCUUCGGGUUGUAAACCUCUUUCAGCAGGGACGAAGCGUAAGUGACGGUACCUGCAGAAGAAGCGCCGGCCAACUACGUGCCAGCAGCCGCGGUAAGACGUAGGGCGCGAGCGUUGUCCGGAUUUAUUGGGCGUAAAGAGCUCGUAGGCGGCUUGUCGCGUCGACUGUGAAAUCCCGUGGCUCAACUGCGGGUCUGCAGUCGAUACGGGCAGGCUAGAGUUCGGUAGGGGAGACUGGAAUUCCUGGUGUAGCGGUGAAAUGCGCAGAUAUCAGGAGGAACACCGGUGGCGAAGGCGGGUCUCUGGGCCGAUACUGACGCUGAGGAGCGAAAGCGUGGGGAGCGAACAGGAUUAGAUACCCUGGUAGUCCACGCUGUAAACGUUGGGCGCUAGGUGUGGGGGGCCUCUCCGGUUCUCUGUGCCGCAGCUAACGCAUUAAGCGCCCCGCCUGGGGAGUACGGCCGCAAGGCUAAACUCAAGGAAUGACGG
rnacentral:rRNA from 1 species